rnacentral:rRNA from 1 species
GACGAACGCUGGCGGCGUGCUUGACACAUGCAAGUCGAACGGACUACUUUGCUUCGGUAAGGUGGUUAGUGGCGUACGGGUGAGUAACGCGUAGACAACCUACCUCUUAGAUGGGGACAACAUCGCGAAAGCGGUGCUAAUACCGAAUGAAGUGACUUUCCUGCAUGGGAGAGAUACGAAAGGUGGCCUCUAUUUAUAAGCUACCAUUGAGAGAUGGGUCUGCGUCUGAUUAGCUAGUUGGCGGGGUAACGGCCCACCAAGGCGACGAUAAGUAGCCGGUCUGAGAGGAUGAACGGCCACAUUGGGACUGAGACACGGCCCAAACUCCUACGGGAGGCAGCAGUGGGGAAUCUUCCGCAAUGGACGAAAGUCUGACGGAGCAACGCCGCGUGAGUGAAGAAGGUUUUCGGAUCGUAAAGCUCUGUUGUUUGAGACGAAUGUGCCUGUUUCGAAUAGGGAUAGGUAAUGACGGUAUUAAACGAGAAAGCCACGGCUAACUACGUGCCAGCCGCCGCCGUAA